rnacentral:rRNA from 1 species
GGGGAAUAUUGGACAAUGGGCGCAAGCCUGAUCCAGCCAUGCCGCGUGUGUGAAGAAGGCCUUCGGGUUGUAAAGCACUUUUGUACGGGAAGAAAAGCACUCGGUUAAUACUCUGGCGGGAUGACGGUACCGUAAGAAUAAGCACCGGCUAACUUCGUGCCAGCAGCCGCGGUAAUACGAAGGGUGCAAGCGUUACUCGGAAUUACUGGGCGUAAAGCGUGCGUAGGCGGUUUGUUAAGUCCGUUGUGAAAGCCCUGGGCUCAACCUGGGAACUGCAGUGGAUACUGGCAAGCUAGAGUGCGGUAGAGGAGGGUGGAAUUCCCGGUGUAGCGGUGAAAUGCGUAGAGAUCGGGAGGAACAUCGAUGGCGAAGGCAGCCCUCUGGACCAGCACUGACGCUGAGGCACGAAAGCGUGGGGAGCAAA